CACGGCGGGUGCUAACGUCCGUCGUGAAGAGGGAAACAACCCAGACCGCCAGCUAAGGUCCCAAAGUCAUGGUUAAGUGGGAAACGAUGUGGGAAGGCCCAGACAGCCAGGAUGUUGGCUUAGAAGCAGCCAUCAUUUAAAGAAAGCGUAAUAGCUCACUGGUCGAGUCGGCCUGCGCGGAAGAUGUAACGGGGCUAAACCAUGCACCGAAGCUGCGGCAGCGACACUGUGUGUUGUUGGGUAGGGGAGCGUUCUGUAAGCCUGUGAAGGUGUGUCGUGAGGCAUGCUGGAGGUAUCAGAAGUGCGAAUGCUGACAUAAGUAACGAUAAAGCGGGUGAAAAGCCCGCUCGCCGGAAGACCAAGGGUUCCUGUCCAACGUUAAUCGGGGCAGGGUGAGUCGACCCCUAAGGCGAGGCCGAAAGGCGUAGUCGAUGGGAAACGGGUUAAUAUUCCCGUACUUGGUGUUACUGCGAAGGGGGGACGGAGAAGGCUAUGUUGGCCGGGCGACGGUUGUCCCGGUUUAAGCGUGUAGGUGUGUGUUCCAGGUAAAUCCGGUUCACUUUAACACUGAGGCGUGACGACGAGGCACUACGGUGCUGAAGCAACAAAUGCCCUGCUUCCAGGAAAAGCCUCUAAGCAUCAGGUAACAUCAAAUCGUACCCCAAACCGACACAGGUGGUCAGGUAGAGAAUACCAAGGCGCUUGAGAGAACUCGGGUGAAGGAACUAGGCAAAAUGGUGCCGUAACUUCGGGAGAAGGCACGCUGACACGUAGGUGAAGUGAUUUACUCAUGGAGCUGAAGUCAGUCGAAGAUACCAGCUGGCUGCAACUGUUUAUUAAAAACACAGCACUGUGCAAACACGAAAGUGGACGUAUACGGUGUGACGCCUGCCCGGUGCCGGAAGGUUAAUUGAUGGGGUCAGCGCAAGCGAAGCUCCUGAUCGAAGCCCCGGUAAACGGCGGCCGUAACUAUAACGGUCCUAAGGUAGCGAAAUUCCUUGUCGGGUAAGUUCCGACCUGCACGAAUGGCGUAAUGAUGGCCAGGCUGUCUCCACCCGAGACUCAGUGAAAUUGAACUCGCUGUGAAGAUGCAGUGUACCCGCGGCAAGACGGAAAGACCCCGUGAACCUUUACUAUAGCUUGACACUGAACAUUGAGCCUUGAUGUGUAGGAUAGGUGGGAGGCUUUGAAGCGUGGACGCCAGUCUGCGUGGAGCCG
rnacentral:rRNA from 1 species